GAAUGUGAGGGUGAUCUGGCUGCAACAUCUGUCACCCCAUUGAUCACCAGGGUUGAUUUGGAUGAUCUGGCAGGCUAGGCAGGUGUCCCCUUCUUCCCUCACCGCUCCAUGUGCGUCCCUCUCGAAGCUGCACACUCGGUCAAAGAGGACAACCUUCCCCAAUAGAGACAGCGCUGUUCAUUAGUCAAGGGUAUACAGUAGCUGUGCUCCCCUGCUAGAACCUCCAAACAAGCUAAGUAAAAGGUAAAGCUAAGCAAUUGCUAGUAUUAGGUCUUU
rnacentral:snRNA from 1 species